rnacentral:lncRNA from 1 species
GGGUCCUCUUGGACACCCCAACCCCACAGUCUGUCUUCCAUCCCCACAUAUAUCCCAGUCACUCAUUCACACACUGAGCUAGUACUUCGGGGCUCCCACUGCCCACCAAACUUCUCCAUCCGUGAGCCCUGUGGCCGGGAAGUGGGGACCAGCUCCCAAUUUGGCUGGGCUGGGUGUGGGUGUUAAUCUUUUCCUGGCUUUUCUGUGCUGAGCUCACAAAGGCUUUUUGCUCCCGCGGGGUGGGAUGUGGUUUUUGGCCAAAGGUGACAUGGUUUGGAAGCUCUGUGGAUGCCAUGUGGUCUCUGGAAUGGGGUGUGCCCAUGAUGCCCCUUCCCCUCUAACAGCAGAGCUGAGGAAAGACAGGUCUGAGGAGCAGAGCAGGAGCUCUGGGAAGGAGAAGAGCAAUAUGAAGAUGGAGUUUAAGACGAGGCCAGGUGACUUCUGUGGAGGGAGACAUGCUGGACAACACCAAGAAUUGGGGAGACAACCAGGCGCUGCAAUAAUAUACACUGCGGGCACUCAGUGAAGAGGUUGCAGAAAAGAAUGUCUGCAGAGAAACCUGCCCCUUCAGCCCUAGAAGCAGGUAAUCUGGGAGAGAGAAGAGGUUUAAUACUAAGGGUGUGUCAGAGCAAGCUUCUUCACACUAUCAAGUUCACUAGUACUAAACUGCCUGUAGAUAAAAGCCUCUAGAAUCUCUUUUAACCCAAGUAAACACAACCACUGCUACUAAGGACUUCAAACCUGAUCAGCCAGGUGCUGAGUCCCUCCAGCAAGUUGCUGGGGUGCCCUCAGCUCCCAUUGACAUUAGGAGAUGGUCAGCAGUUGGUAAGAUGGAGCCUUGUAUGAGGCAACUUUAGUUCUCUGUCUCUCUCUUUGUUUCCUAAUGCCGCACUGAAAGCACCAGAAGUCUUUGUACAUUGGAUUUCACUAUUAUUUUUCAUUAGAGAGGGAUCUCUCACUAAAAAAAAACACAACAAAGNUG